rnacentral:rRNA from 1 species
CGUCCUACGGGAGGCAGCAGUAGGGAAUCUUCCACAAUGGGCGAAAGCCUGAUGGAGCAACGCCGCGUGAAGGAAGAAGGCUUUCGGGUUGUAAACUUCUUUUAUGAGGGACGAAACAAAUGACGGUACCUCAUGAAUAAGCCACGGCUAACUACGUGCCAGCAGCCGCGGUAAUACGUAGGUGGCAAGCGUUAUCCGGAUUUACUGGGUGUAAAGGGCGUGUAGGCGGGACUGCAGGUCAGAUGUGAAAAUUAUGGGCUCAACCCAUAACCUGCAUUUGAAACUGUAGUUCUUGAGUGAUGGAG